rnacentral:lncRNA from 1 species
UGAAAAUCAUGCUCAUACAACCAAAGCGCACAUAUCAAAGGUAUACAUGAUUUCCAACAAAGGACAAUAUCAUUGAACUAAUUUACUGCAGGACAGAAGACCAAGCUGCCGACAUUUUCACAAAGGCUUUGAAACUGAAGUGUUCUUGAAACUCAAGCAGAUGCUUGGCAUGGAGAAUUAGGUUUGAGGGGGAGUGUUAGAAUUGGUGGCAAUUGGCAAACCCACUUCCAACAUAAUCAACAAAAUACACCGCCGUCCUCACCAACCAUUGAACCUCACCAAUCAUUGAAUGGAGGAGGAGAAUUUGGAAAUGGCAAUUGUUUUUCACCACCUACCAUCACCAUUCUUUGCUAUAAAAGAGGGAGCUCUCUGCCUUUGAAAUUAUCCCAAAAAAUACUACAAGUGCAGUAGUAAUAGAGAGAAAAAAAUUAGAGAGUUGAAUGGGAGAGAAGAGCCGAAGCUCUUGAGUGCAAGGUUCUACAAUUCUGGAAAUUCCAGAAAUUGCAAUCUAGGGUAACUUAGAAAGUGAUUUCAAUUUGGUCGUUGAGUCUUUGUUAUUUCCUAUUUGGUGGUAAAUCCGAAAAUCAAUUUGAUUUUCUGAUUAAUUGUAAUAGUUGUGUGAUUUAUCAAUACAAAGUGUCGAGUUUCUUGUUCGGGCUCAAUCAACGCUUUCAACAAGUGGUAUCAGAGCUUGGUUCGUGAUAGGCGAUGUCAAAAAUGGCGGCUAUAUUUGCACCACAGAUUUUGAAGUUG